UAACGAGUGAGCCUAUGUAGCAAUUUAUCAUCCUCUUUCAUUGCCCCGUGGAUUUCACUAACUGAAUGAGUCUCAUUCUAUACUGAACAAAAAUAUAACCCAACAUGCAACAAUUUCUAAUAAUUACUGAGUUAUAGUUUACAGGGAAAUUAGUCAACUGAAAUAAAUGAAUCUGUCCCUAAACUCUGGAUUUCACAUGACUGGGAAUACAGAUAUGCAUCUGUUGGUCACAGAUACAUUUAAAACAUGUCAGUAUCGAUCAACCAUUUGCUUCAUGCAGUGCGCCAUCUCCUUCGCAUAGAGUUGAUCACGGUGUUGAUGGCCUGUGGAAUGUUGUCCCACUUCUCUUCAAUUGGCGGACCUGGAACAUUCUGUCCUACACGUUGACCCAGAGCUUCCCGAAAAAUGUUCAAUGGGUGAAGUGUCUGCAGUGGGAUGUCACCAUGGAGGACAACACAAGACUCCUCUACAGCUACCAAAACAACAGCUCUGUUACCUUGUGGAUGUCGGCCAUCUUGACUGGGGCUGUGGGUUGUGUUUGUGAUGCCAGGCCUGAAAGUGCCCUUUAAGCUCAAGUUCAUCUGAUGCUACGUGAGAUCAGGUACCACUGUUCCUCUACGACCCGCGCCUACCCAGAGAGACCUGCAGCCUGUCGCCGCUAACCCAGCUAUUCUUCUCUGCUGCUAAGAAGGGGGCUCUUUUGUAAUUAUCAGAAGGACUUUUUGUUUCAUUUGUCGCCCUCUCUGCGGGUUGUCUAUUUUUCCAUUAUCUACAUCUGAAGAGGAUCUAUGUCUUCCCUGUGUUUACAUUAAAGGACUCUGUUUUUGUUAAACCGCUUUUGGGUCCUCACUCAAGUGCAUAACCGAAUGAGACAAGUCUGCCCAACAACCGGCAGUUGGGUUCCAAUGUACUGGGUUUGAGAUCAACUCAAUGCUGCAGACCUACCCACGAGGUAGAGUCUGGUGGAGGGGAAUAACAUAUACUAAGGCCAAUUUUGUCAGCAAGGAUUUCUGGAAGGUACCGUAUGAAUUCCAUGUUUAUUGAUUUAUUUGAUUAAGUUUAUUGGUCAGGGACCAUGUAGGCUACCUGUCCAAUAAAAACUGAUAUAAAUGACAUAUCUGUGUUGACUGUCACGUUCUGACCUUAGUUCCUUUGUUAUGUCUUUUUUAGUAUGGUCAGGGCGUGAGACUACCCACCCCAACUAUGUUCUUUUUUCUAUGUUGUGUUUAUGUGUUUGGCCUGGUGUCGUUCGUUGUCUCUGAUUUGAGAAUCAUACUUAGGUAGCCUUUUCCCACCUGUGUUUUGUGGGUGAUUAUUUUCCGAUUAGUGUUUUUCGUCACCUUCCAGAACUGUUUUAUUUCAUUCUCUUUGUUUUUUUGUUUAGUGUUCUGAGUUUAAAUAAAUAUGAUCAUGAACACUUACCAAGCUGCACUUUGGUCCUCCUCUCCUUUAACCGAAGACAACCGUUACAGACUGAGAACACGCUUCUUAUUUAUUUUAAUUUCCGUAUGUGCAGUAAGUCACUGGAACCGUAUGCAGAACAUUUUCAUUUUACCAUAACGUCUUUUACAGUCACAAUAAUGACGCACAAUAUAGGAGAUUAUUAAGAGAUUCACUACCAGUAAUCAUGACCAAUAUCGUCAGAGAUGUAAGUAAAAAGUUCCACUGCUGUUGUUCGAGAAGCGCUGCUUCAUUUGCUUCUAUGCUCUGUUCUUUUCUU